UUGAAAAUUUUCUGGCAGAGAAGCUGCAUUCGCAGAUAAGCCGCAGGCAAUACGACAUGGCUGAUUUGUACAACAAAGGAAACCAUAGAGAAGGCUGUAAAUCCUGUGAUCCAUACUCUGGGUUUGGUAUGGUGUACGACAAAGGAGGUCCUCUUUGCCGCCCAUGGGCAGUCAUUAUCUCCGUGCAGCCCACCUUUACAAUUGACCAGUGCUGGGCGCUUCUUCGACUCUGCCAGCUCCUAACAGUUUUCUGUUCAACCAGAUGACCCUGUACCGUCGAGAAGCCCAUCUUCAUCCCAUCCGAGCAUCUGUGACGGCUCUCGAUGGCAUCUUUGCACGCAUCCCAGAGCACUCACUUGCUGAGCUUGUGGCGUCCAUAACAACUUGCUUUGCUGCCAUAUUCUUGCCAGUAGUUUUAGAAAAAGGACAGUGGACAGUGGUGGAAAAAAUCGCCUGUCUCUGCUUUUUGCAGGUGUUUCAAAAUUGCUGCUCUCAUAUAUGGUGCACACAUAGGAUAGUGCUUGGUGUAUUCUACCUUGCU